UACAGAGGGGGCAAGCGUUGUUCGGAAUUACUGGGCGUAAAGGGCGCGUAGGCGGCCUGUUAAGUCGAACGUGAAAUCCCCCGGGCUCAACCCGGGAACUGCGUCCGAUACUGGCAGGCCUUGAAUCCGGGAGAGGGAUGCGGAAUUCCAGGUGUAGCGGUCGAAAUGCGUAGAUAUCUGGAGGAACACCGGUGGCGAAGGCGGCAUCC
rnacentral:rRNA from 1 species